rnacentral:miRNA from 2 species
UUUGUACUCCGAUGCCAUUCAGA